rnacentral:rRNA from 1 species
AGACCGGCGCACGGGUGCGUAACGCGUAUGCAAUCUACCUUUUACAGAGGGAUAGCCCAGAGAAAUUUGGAUUAAUACCUCAUAGUAUUACGAAAUGGCAUCAUUUUGUAAUUAAAGUCACAACGGUAAAAGAUGAGCAUGCGUCCCAUUAGCUAGUUGGUAAGGUAACGGCUUACCAAGGCUACGAUGGGUAGGGGUCCUGAGAGGGAGAUCCCCCACACUGGUACUGAGACACGGACCAGACUCCUACGGGAGGCAGCAGUGAGGAAUAUUGGACAAUGGGCGCAAGCCUGAUCCAGCCAUGCCGCGUGCAGGAUGACGGUCCUAUGGAUUGUAAACUGCUUUUAUACGAGAAGAAACACUCCUUCGUGAAGGAGCUUGACGGUAUCGUAAGAAUAAGGAUCGGCUAACUCCGUGCCAGCAGCCGCGGUAAUACGGAGGAUCCAAGCGUUAUCCGGAAUCAUUGGGUUUAAAGGGUCCGUAGGCGGUUUAAUAAGUCAGUGGUGAAAGCCCAUCGCUCAACGGUGGAACGGCCAUUGAUACUGUUAAACUUGAAUUAUUAGGAAGUAACUAGAAUAUGUAGUGUAGCGGUGAAAUGCUUAGAGAUUACAUGGAAUACCAAUUGCGAAGGCAGGUUACUACUAAUGGAUUGACGCUGAUGGACGAAAGCGUGGGUAGCGAACAGGAUUAGAUACCCUGGUAGUCCACGCCGUAAACGAUGGAUACUAGCUGUUGGGAGCAAUCUCAGUGGCUAAGCGAAAGUGAUAAGUAUCCCACCUGGGGAGUACGUUCGCAAGAAUGAAACUCAAAGGAAUUGACGGGGGCCCGCACAAGCGGUGGAGCAUGUGGUUUAAUUCGAUGAUACGCGAGGAACCUUACCAAGGCUUAAAUGUAGAUUGACCGGUUUGGAAACAGAUCUUUCGCAAGACAAUUUACAAGGUGCUGCAUGGUUGUCGUCAGCUCGUGCCGUGAGGUGUCAGGUUAAGUCCUAUAACGAGCGCAACCCCUGUUGUUAGUUGCCAGCGAGUCAUGUCGGGAACUCUAACAAGACUGCCAGUGCAAACUGUGAGGAAGGUGGGGAUGACGUCAAAUCAUCACGGCCCUUACGCCUUGGGCUACACACGUGCUACAAUGGCCGGUACAGAGAGCAGCCACUGGGCGACCAGGAGCGAAUCUAUAAAACCGGUCACAGUUCGGAUCGGAGUCUGCAACUCGACUCCGUGAAGCUGGAAUC